GAAAUGAAGUGACGCUUUUGCCCCUGGUCUUUGUUGUCAAUUACACUUGCCCAUUGGUUUAGUGCGUUCUUAUUUUAUGGUGCUUACUGCGAGUAUAACCAAAACGAUCGAGGAUGUUCGGGAAGCCUCCAUUUUCACUGACUUCAACUAUUCUUCUAUUUCGAAUUUUCCAUCAAGAUCGCCAGUGAUGAAAUCAAUUGUUCCAUCUCCUUUAGGCGCUUUGAUCAGUGUGUUUUGGUAGGUGAUCCAUAGACUGAAAGAGAGGGAGGGAGAGAGAGAGAGGGCGAAGAUAUUGCGUGAUCCAGUCUAGAGAUUUUGGUGCACCUAAGAAGAGAAGGAUCCCUAAUCUCUGUCCCAGGAUAUAAUUCUCAGGAAACAUAGACACCGCGACGAGAUUUGAGGCGUUUACGACUGCUAUGAGAGGAUUAAGUUCCCCUUCCCCAAGAAGGACUGCUCUCACCGCCGAUCUUGAGCAAGCCUAUCUCUCGCUCAUCACCGCCUCCAGAGGUCGUACGAGUGUACAACGCAUUGUGGCUGAUCAAUAGUGUGGUACCUGUGGAUAUAGAUGAAGAGGAGGCUGAUGGUGUUUGGUGCUGUUGAAUUGAGAUUUUCUUUGAACAACAAAGAUUUGGGGGUGAAUUCAGCUUGCGUUAGAGUCAGUGCUGGAUUUAUUUUGGAUUAUUCUCUUUUGGUCCGACGAGUUUUCUCAUCAGCAAACUACUCAGAUAGAGCUGUAUGGAAUUUUGAAUUAUCUCGACCUUUUUUUCUUGUUCAGUGUUUUAACUAAUUAUUAUACAUACAUCUAAGGACGGGUUGGUGUUCAUAAGAUACUGUUCUGAGACUGGCGCGAGAGAGGAAAUCUAAUCCGAGAGGGAGGAAUAAGAGGAGAUUGGGUUGUUGGAAUCGAAAGCAUAAGAGAAGAGGUUCGUCUGGAUUUUGUAAUAGCGGUCUUCUGCGACAGAGAGAGCGACAGAGUGAGGCUGAUCCAAGAGAGAGGAAGAGAAGGAGACGGGAAGAGAAGAAAAGAAAAGAAGAAGAAGAAGAAGAAGAGGAAGAAGAAAAGGAAGAAGAAGAGGGAAAUCGAGUAAAUUGAUCAUCCCAGGGAUUUCCAUAAGCAUAUCAAAAGUGGCAGCUAAUACAGUUCGAGAAGAAUUUUAGAACUUAGAAAAGAGCACAUCAGUUGAUAGCAGAAAAGUUUGGACAAGAGAACAUUGCAACUUUUUUGUGCCGCAGCAUCGCGCGGAUGGGUUUUCUAGUUUACUAUAUACUAAAGGAGAUAUACUGUUCAUGGGCACUGUUCGUAAGGGAGAGAUACUGUUCAUGGGCACUGUUCCUAAGGGCCCUUAAAUGGAAUGACGCUUUUGCCCUCAUUUGAGAUUUUUUUGCGGUUCUGCCACUGAGCUAUAUACUAGGGGCUUCCAUCAGUUUCUUCUUUCUUCUACGGCCAUCGGAUUCUUCUCUCUUCUGUUGGUUUCUCUCUUCCUCCCUUCUGCCCUGGUUUAUUAAGCUAUCGCCAUCACUCAGUACGACAUCGAAGAAGUACAGCAACACUUGGAACCACACAUUUUCGCAGCAGAAGAUAGUUUCUCUGUACGAGAGGUUCUGUCAGUUCGAUCGCAGUGGCGGAGGUUUCAUCUUCGCCAACGAGUUUUUUGUCCAUACCGGAAUUCGCAGUCAAUUCUCUCUCUCAGUUUUGGCUGGGUGGACGUAGAUACUGGGGGAGAUAUGGAGCAAGACCACACUUGCUCUCAGGAGAUGCUUCUGUAUCAACACUCAAUUUCCUUUUCUCAUCAGAGAGAUUUGAUCAAACAACAAAGCUACUUAGUUUUGGGGUGAAUUCAGAAAGAUAUUCAAGGGAGGAUUGACAAAGAACAAGCGGUUCUUUGCUUUGCUCAGCUCACUGGCAUUGGUUACAAUUAUGAGUUCAAUUGCGUCUGAAUUUGGUUUGAAUGUUGGAGCUUUUGGGAUUGAUUUGGGUUUGUUUCUGUUGACAACUACAGUUGCAGAGAGGGAAACUCUAUGUUGGAUAUUAUGUGGCUAUGAAGGGGUUCUCUGCUUUGCUUAUCAGCAUUGCAACAUUUCUCCCAUGUUGUGAGAGUCAUGGAUAAAUGUUGCUUCAGAGAAUAAAGAUGGUUUUUCCUUUUCACAGAGACGAAGGAGCUGGUGAUAGUUUUUCUUGGAGAAAUUGAGCUCAUUUGAACAAAUAGGAAUAUCCGAUUGAGCUGGCACCUAUUUGAUCAAAUUGGGGGAUUUGAUUGAGCAAUCAGAGAUCUUUGAAGGAUUGAGCUCCGGUGUGAUUGUGGAAUCCUUGAAGGUGGUUAGCUUGCAAGGAUUUGCCUCAAUUUUGGAGCCUAACCUCUGCAGAAUUAGAUUUAGAGACAAACCUUCAAGGGCUGAAGCAAGUUCGCAAACCUGUUGUGUUUCAUUCUCUCUAUUUAGACCUUUGGGGUGUAUUAGAACACAGAAGGUCCUAAAAUUCUUGAGUUUAGUUAUGGUCUAUACUCAGUAUUCAGAUUGGUUUAGAUGGAUUUAGUUGUUUUGUACCACAGAGGUAGUAAGUGUGUGUUUGGGAAUGUCUCUAAAAUGAAAGUGCUUUUGGGUUUAAUGUCAAAUGAAUUUGGAAUAUGUUAUCUGCAUUGUUUUGCUCGCUUUGAACAUUAUCAUGAUAUAGUGGUUUAAUGUCAAAUGAAUUUGGAGUAAGUUGUUCACAGUGACAAAUUCCGCAGCAAAGCACGGAUAACAUUUCUAGAGUAUAUAUAUAUGUGUGUGUGUGUGUGUGUGGAAUACAAAAGGUGGCAAAGCGGAUAGACGUGUGGAAGACAGAUGGAGACGAAGCAUAUACAAGGUGCUUUAAAAAAAAAAGGAGAAACCGAUUGAAAAAAGAGGGACCUGAGAUCAGAGAGCAGCAAACCUUAGGAGGAACCCGCUUUCUCAAUAUGCCAAGGGCAGCAAAAUCCCAAGCCAAAGCGCAGCGGCGACUACAACUGCAACAACUCUUGUUCAAAAUAAAGAUAUCAAAACUUAGAAGAGUCGAUCAUUCGGGCCGGGUAAGUAAAAAUAAAAGAGAGAGAGAGAAGAAAAGAGGGAAUUUUGAUUCCCAUGGAGAUGAAUUGGCUCACUUUGUUAUAGCAACCAGAUUCGUUCGCAUUAAGUCAGUGACAAUGACCUGCAAAGACGCGAUGUCGAUUGUAUUAAGUCGAGAGAAAAAAAUAUGAACGACGGAGGGGAUGAGAUUGAAAAGAAGCUUACUCUCAAGUGUCUACAACGAGUCUGACGAUUGUGGGAACACACAAAGUUAGCUGCUGGAUGCACUAGCAGAGGGCAUGGAGAGUUUGGUGAUUUGUUCUGUUUUAUAAGAGAAAAAUCUAUCAAUUAACCUCUUUUAGAAUCCUUAUAAGGCAUGCAUGAAUGGAGGAAAAUAUGCAUUUGAGACUCCAUGAUUUUUCUUGUUAACCAAAUUUUAAGAAAAAUCUUCAUUUUAGUCUCAAUUAGCUCUUUCUGAAAAGGCAUGGGUUGAAGGGAAUGUCUGUGAUCACUAGUUUCAAGCUCAAUGAUUGUUCCUAUUAACAUAAAAGUCAUAAGAAGAAUCAAUCAUGUGCUCUUUCCAGGCUUCAUGCUAAAAGGAAUGAAUUGAAGAAAAUAUACUUGCCAGUUUGUGGUUCUACGAUGCUCAUAUGAAUCUGAUGACCACUGAUUGUCAUAUCAAAGUUUCUUAGAAAAUCUCUACCAACCCGU